rnacentral:sRNA from 1 species
UUGCGCAAGUAAUGUUUUAUUGAGCAAUCUUCGCAAUCGGCUGCCGCGGCCACAGGCCUAUUCUUAAUACCAGAAUCACUGCCCGGACAUAGAGUCCACUGCGGCCCGCCGAAUCAGGCCAGCCGCGGCCGCCAACCCCACAGGGUUGCCCCGGCCCCCGGGCUACGCACUGUCCAGAAGACGGAGCGAGGUGAGCCAACAUCACAAGUGUUGAGCCAGGACGAAAAAAUUCAAAGGGCGACCGACGGGUCGCCCU